UACGUAGGGUGCAAGCGUUGUCCGGAAUUAUUGGGCGUAAAGAGCUCGUAGGCGGUUUGUCGCGUCUGGUGUGAAAACUCAAGGCUCAACCUUGAGCUUGCAUCGGGGUACGGGCAGACUAGAGUGUGGUAGGGGUGACUGGAAUUCCUGGUGUAGCGGUGGAAUGCGCAGAUAUCAGGAGGAACACCGAUGGCGAAGGCAGGUCACUGGGCCACUACUGACGCUGAGGAGCGAAAAGCAUGGGGAGCGAACAGGG
rnacentral:rRNA from 1 species